AUUGAACGCUGGCGGCAUGCCUUACACAUGCAAGUCGAACGGCAGCACGGGGCAACCUGGUGGCGAGUGGCGAACGGGUGAGUAAUGCAUCGGAACGUACCUUUCAGUGGGGGAUAACGUAGCGAAAGUUACGCUAAUACCGCAUAUUCUGUGAGCAGGAAAGCAGGGGAUCGCAAGACCUUGCGCUGAUUGAGCGGCCGAUGUCAGAUUAGCUAGUUGGUGAGGUAAAGGCUCACCAAGGCGACGAUCUGUAGCGGGUCUGAGAGGAUGAUCGGCCACACUGGAACUGAGACACGGUACAGACUCCUACGGGAGGAAGCAGUGGGGAAUUUUGGACAAUGGGGGCAACCCUGAUCCAGCCAGGCCGCGUGAGUGAAGAAGGCCUUCGGGUUGUAAAGCUCUUUCGGCCGGGAAGAAAUCGCACGGGCUAAUACCCUGUGUGGAUGACGGUACCGGAAUAAGAAGCACCGUCUAACUACGUGCCAGCCGCCGCGGUAACAC
rnacentral:rRNA from 1 species